rnacentral:sRNA from 1 species
AGCUGAUGCGUUCGAUACGACUUCUGAGUCGUAUUGCAGCAGCUGUUCCCCUCUGGAGGUUUUUACCUUCACACUUACAAGGGCCCCGUUUUGGAGGCCCUUUUUU